CCUACGGGAGGCAGCAGUGGGGGAUAUUGGACAAUGGGGGGAACCCUGAUCCAGCGACGCCGCGUGAGUGAAGAAGUAUUUCGGUAAGUAAAGCUCUGUCAGCAGGGAAGAAAGAAAUGACGGUACCUGACCAAGAAGCCCCGGCUAACUACGUGCCAGCAGCCGCGGUAAUACGUAGGGGGCAAGCGUUAUCCGGAAUUACUGGGUGUAAAGGGAGCGUAGACGGUUAAGUAAGUCUGGAGUGAAAGGCCGGGGCUCAACCCCGGGACUGCUCUGGAAACUAUUUAACUUGAGUGCAGGAGAGGUAAGCGGAAUUCCUAGUGUAGCGGUGAAAUGCGUAGAUAUUAGGAGGAACACCAGUGGCGAAGGCGGCUUACUGGACUGUAACUGACGUUGAGGCUCGAAAGCGUGGGGAGCAAACAGGAUUAGAUACCCCUGUAGUC
rnacentral:rRNA from 1 species